rnacentral:rRNA from 1 species
CCUACGGGAGGCAGCAGUAGGGAAUUUUCCGCAAUGGGCGAAAGCCUGACGGAGCAAUACCGCGUGAGGGAUGACGGCCUGUGGGUUGUAAACCUCUUUUCUCAAGGAAGAAGUUCUGACGGUACUUGAGGAAUAAGCAUCGGCUAACUCUGUGCCAGCAGCCGCGGUAAUACAGAGGAUGCAAGCGUUAUCCGGAAUCACUGGGCAUAAAGCGUCUGUAGGUUGUUUAGUAAGUCUGCUGUUAAAGACUGGGGCUUAACCCCAGAAAAGCAGUGGAAACUGCUAGACUCGAGUGUGGUAGAGGUAGAGGGAAUUCCUAGUGUAGCGGUGAAAUGCGUAGAUAUUAGGAAGAACACCAAUGGCGAAGGCACUCUACUGGGCCAUAACUGACACUGAGAGACGACAGCUAGGGGAGCAAACGGGAUUAGAUACCCCGGUAGUCCUAGCCGUAAACGAUGGAUACUAGAUGUUGCACGUAUUAACCCGUGCAGUAUCGUAGCUAAGGCGUUAAGUAUCCCGCCUGGGAAGUACGCUCGCAAGAGUGAAACUCAAAGGAAUUGACGGCNGAGAGNGCGAGACGACGACGAGGGAGAG